GUGAGGAAUAUUGGUCAAUGGGGGGAACCCUGAACCAGCCAUGCCGCGUGGAGGAAGACGGCCCUACGGGUUGUAAACUCCUUUAGCACGGGAAUAAACUCAGUCACGCGUGACUGAUUGAAGGUACCGUGAGAAUAAGCAUCGGCUAACUCCGUGCCAGCAGCCGCGGUAAUACGGAGGAUGCAGGCGUUAUCCGGAUUUAUUAGGUUUAAAGGGUGCGUAGGCGGCCCGGUAAGUCAGCGUUGAAAGUCUGCGGCUCAACCGUAGAAUUGGCAUUGAUACUGUCGGGCUUGGAUGCGGUGGAAGUAGGCGGAAUGUGCAGUGUAGCGGUGAAAUGCUUAGAUAUUGUACAGAACACCGAUUGCGAAGGCAGCUUACUAUACCGUUAUUGACGCUGAGGCACGAAAGCGCGGGGAUCGAACAGG
rnacentral:rRNA from 1 species